UACGGAGGUUCCUAGCGUUGUUCGGAAUUACUGGGCGUAAAGGGAGCGCAGGCGGAUUGAUAAGUCUAAAGUGGAAUCCCGGGGCUCAACCUCGGACGUGCUUUGGAUACUGUCAGUCUUGAGUUCGUGAGAGGAAAGCGGAAUUCAGGGUGUAGCGGUGAAAUGCUUAGAUAUCCUGAGGAACACCAGUGGCGAAAGCGGCUUUCUGGCACGAAACUGACGCUGAGGCUCGAAAGCGUGGGUAGCGAACGGG
rnacentral:rRNA from 1 species